rnacentral:lncRNA from 1 species
GUUGAAAUAAAGUUGAGGUUUUGGAAGUUCAUAGGUUUUUAAGCAUGGUUCAUGUUGAACAAAUUGUUGAAUUAGGGAUUUAAUUGAAUGAAUUUCAAGUUAGAAUUGAUUAAGGGAUUAAAUUGUAAAAGAAGCUAUAAGUUUUAUGUUAGAGGGACUAAAUUGAAAGAAACUUGAGAUUAGAGUUUUACUAUGAAUAUUUGAUGGUUAGGGUGAAUAUGAUAGGAA